AACAUCGCGCACCUGCGGGAACCUGCGGAGGGAUCAUUACCGAGUUUACAACUCCCAAACCCCUGUGAACAUACCAAUUGUUGCCUCGGCGGAUCAGCCCGCUCCCGGUAAAACGGGACGGCCCGCCAGAGGACCCCUAAACUCUGUUUCUAUAUGUAACUUCUGAGUAAAACCAUAAAUAAAUCAAAACUUUCAACAAUGGAUCU
rnacentral:misc_RNA from 1 species